rnacentral:lncRNA from 1 species
CUCUGAUCUCUGAUCUCUGACCUGCGUUCUUAGCUGGGACGUCGAGUUCUCCCAGGAUAAUUAUCGACCAGCUGCCAUGUAAGACGUGCCUUUCAGCUUCCACCAUGAUUGUGAGGUCUCUCCAGCCACAUGUAACUGUGUUCCAAGAUAAUGAAUACUUCCAUAGCAACAAAAGUCUGACAAUAAACGGUUACCUUGAUUUUCACAUUUUCAAAGAAAAAUCCCUCAAUGGCAACUAGACCAGAAGUCUCAACACUGAAUAUGCAAUAAUGGCUACAAGAAAAAGAAAUUCUUGGUCCCCAACAUGGAAAUCCAAGAUGCAAGGAAAUCAUAGGCUCUGAAUCACCUGGGGAAGAAACCGCUGCAGACCAAAUUGCAUCUUAGAUCCAUUAAAUCAGAAACUUGGAUUGCUGGAUUCAGAUAUUCCAUCAGGAGCAGAAACGUUCACAGAAAAGGGGCACAAAUUUUAGGGGCAGAGUAAGAUGUGAACCAUACAAUCAGCUCUGAGCAUCCUCCUCUGCCCAUUUGCCUCAUAUGGUUUUAAGGAUGGUAAGUGCAGAUAAAGCUGUGAAUGAGAAGAGGAACAGAGCAGUCAUCAUGGAACAUGAGAGAGAAGCUAUGUAUUCAAGGCCCCAGAACCACAAGUAGAAGGAGCCUGGAUCCCAGAUAAUUUUGUGGGUCCCAUAGUCCUGAAUUGCCUGCCCAGGCUUUAACAUGAAAGAGAACAAUUUCUCUAUUUCAUUUAAACCACAGUUAUUACAGGGUCUCUUUCAACAGCCAAACCUAUUACCUAACUAACACAAGUCAUGACCAGGUAGUCUUGCUAACAGAAUAUCUCAUAUUCAAUUAAGUGUUUUAAAUAUAUACCAUUGUUACUGCACCUGAACAACCGAAAACUUCUGUGAGAAGACCAAAAAUCUAUACUUAGUAGAAAUUUUCCUUCUUAAUUUUAGCAUCUACAGAAAUGUGCCCCAUAUUUUGUCCUGUGAAUGACUUUCAAAAGUUCAGACUUGUGUAAUGCCCUAUAAGUUGAACCAAAUAUUAAUUUCUUUGCAAUAUAUAAAGAUUUUAUUUAACAUAGUGUAAUAUAAAGAUAAUAUAUGUCUAAUGUAGUAGAUGUCAAGUACAGUAUGUGUUUGGUAUUUAGACCUUAUAAAAAAAAUUUUUCUAGCUCUUGUCUACCAUGUAGGUAACAUAUUCCCAUUUUAUAAAUAAAGCAAUUCCAGAACAUG